AGUAUCAAGGUUAUGCUAGUCUUAUAAAACAAGGAGGAGAGUGUUCCUGGUUUACCCCAAGAGUUCCUGUGAGAUUGCUGUUUACUUCCCUGGCUUUUUGGAAGAAUUGAUUGGCAAAACAAGUAAAGCAUUUCCCACUGCUAGGAAUUUAGUGAGGCCAGCAGACUCUGCAAUUGGAGUUGGCCACAUCUCAACAACUAAAGGCAUGCAGGGAGCAGCUUCUUACAAGAGAAGCGGAAAUCGCGGAGCUGAAAGCCGAAAGGAACAACACCAGGCUGCUGCUGGAACACCUGGAGGUCCUGGUUUCCCGGUAUGUGCCGUCCCUCGGGAUGACGGCGGGCCCGCAGCAGGCGCAGUCCCCAGCCAGCAUGACCAGCGAGGUGGAGCUGCUCAGGGCGCUGAGAUUGCUCUUUGAGCACCACAAGGCCCUGGACGAGAAGUUGAGAGAGCAACUGCGACACGCUCUCGAAAGGUGUAGUUCCUUAGAAGAGGAAUUAAGGACCGCACACAAACAGGUGCAGAGCCAGAGGGAGCAGGACUGGGAGUCCGCGCAGCAGGCCCGCGUGGU